UACAGAGGUCUCAAGCGUUGUUCGGAUUCAUUGGGCGUAAAGGGUGUGUAGGUGGCGCGCUAAGUCGGGUGUGAAAUUUCGGAGCUUAACUCCGAAACUGCAUUCGAUACUGGCGUGCUUGAGGACUGGAGAGGAGACUGGAAUUUACGGUGUAGCGGUGAAAUGCGUAGAUAUCGUAAGGAAGACCAGUGACGAAGGCGGGUCUCUGGACAGUUCCUGACGCUGAGGCACGAAGGCCAGGGGAGCAAACGGG
rnacentral:rRNA from 1 species